CUUGCUCAUUUUAACAUUUUUCUAAAAAUGAUACCUGUGCAGCGCAUAUUGGUUUAGGAGAUAUCAAAUGGCACACAUAAGAUUGGAAACAAUGAGCAAGAUUUUUGCAUUUUGAGAGCAUGCAUAUUCCACAAGAAAGAAAAAGGGGUUAGCAGCUGUUGCUAAAGAACCAUUGUUCUUGCAUCACCUUGUCUCCAUGGUCUAAAAACGGACAAGAAAAAGGAACUGGAGGACAUGAACCAUGGCCAUACCUGGAGGAGGGCUCGAAGGGAGAUGACCUUCCCAUCACGUUCGUGGAUAAGAACAGCGAAAACGCGCUGCUCCCUCACCUUGUGCAUGACGACGACGCUCAGCCCCGCAGCGGUGAGGAACACCAGAAGCAGCAGCAAGUACGGGAGCCUCUUGGCGGCGCUGCUGGCCAUCCCGUAGCCUUUUGGAUCUUGCUUGGUGCAGCAAUGCGGAGGAAACUAAUGGAGCUGCAGGUGCAGGGAAGAAGUGACUGCUGAGUGUCGACUAGCAAAUGUAGAGAUUACACAAGCUCUGGGCUGUUUAUCGUGGAUCGGACGGUUGUGAGGAGAAGCUGUUUUCGUGGAUCAUCAUGAAUGUAAAACCGACGGUAUCUGCGAUCUCCAGGCAACAAUCACCUCAAGAUGAGUAAUGUAUUCAUGGAGCAGCUGCAGGGGUUAGUGCUCCACCAUGCAGGCAGGACAACUAGUA